UACAGAGGGUGCAAGCGUUGUUCGGAAUUAUUGGGCGUAAAGGGCGCGUAGGCGGUUCGGCAAGUCUCUAGUGAAAUCUCAGGGCUCAACCUAGAGCCUGCAGGCGAAACUGCCGUGCUUGAGGGUGGGAGAGGUGCGUGGAAUUCCCCGUGUAGCGGUGAAAUGCGUAGAUAUCGGGAGGAACACCUGUGGCGAAAGCGGCGCACUGGACCACAUCUGACGCUGAGGCGCGAAAGCUAGGGGAGCAAACAGG
rnacentral:rRNA from 1 species